ACGGGUGAGUAACGCGUGGUCAACCUACCGUUGAGUGGGGAUAACUAGCCGAAAGGUUAGCUAAUACCGCAUACGUCUCCGAGGGGCAUCCCUUGGCGAUAAAAGGAGCAAUCCGCUCGAUGACGGGACCGCGUCCCAUUAGCUAGAUGGUGGGGUAACGGCCUACCAUGGCACCGAUGGGUAGCUGGUUUGAGAGAGCGACCAGCCACACUGGGACUGAGAAACGGCCCAG
rnacentral:rRNA from 1 species